UACGUAGGGGGCAAGCGUUAUCCGGAUUUACUGGGUGUAAAGGGAGCGUAGACGGAUGGACAAGUCUGAUGUGAAAGGCUGGGGCUCAACCCCGGGACUGCAUUGGAAACUGCCCGUCUUGAGUGCCGGAGAGGUAAGCGGAAUUCCUAGUGUAGCGGUGAAAUGCGUAGAUAUUAGGAGGAACACCAGUGGCGAAGGCGGCUUACUGGACGGUAACUGACGUUGAGGCU
rnacentral:rRNA from 1 species